rnacentral:lncRNA from 8 species
AUGGGAACAGACCUGUCUGUCUGCAGCCCCAGAGGGCAUGCAAACAGACCUGUCUGUCUGCAGCCCCAGAGGGCAUGGGAACAGACCUGUCUGUCUGCAGCCCCAGAGGGCAUGGGAACAGACCUGUCUGUCUGCAGCCCCAGAGGGCAUGGGAACAGACCUGUCUGUCUGCAGCCCAACAGAGGGCAUGGGAACAGACCUGUCUGUCUGCAGCCCAACAGAGCAUGGGAACAGACCUGUCUGUCUGCAGCCCAACAGAGCAUGGGAACAGACCUGUCUGUCUGCAGCCCAACAGAGCAUGGGAACAGACCUGUCUGUCUGCAGCCCAACAGAGCAUGGGAACAGACCUGUCUGUCUGCAGCCCAACAGAGCAUGGGAACAGACCUGUCUGUCUGCAGCCCCAGAGGGCAUGGGAACAGACCUGUCUGCCUGCAGCCCCAGAGGGCAUGGGAACAGACCUGUCUGUCUACAGCCCCAGAGGGCAUGGGAACAGACCUGUCUGUCUGCAGCCCCAGAGGGCAUGCAAACAGACCUGUCUGUCUGCAGCCCCAGAGGGCAUGGGAACAGACCUGUCUGUCUGCAGCCCCAGAGGGCAUGGGAACAGACCUGUCUGUCUGCAGCCCCAGAGGGCAUGGGAACAGACCUGUCUGUCUGCAGCCCCAGAGGGCAUGGGAACAGACCUGUCUGUCUGCAGCCCAACAGAGCAUGGGAACAGACCUGUCUGUCUGCAGCCCAACAGAGCAUGGGAACAGACCUGUCUGUCUGCAGCCCAACAGAGCAUGGGAACAGACCUGUCUGUCUGCAGCCCAACAGAGCAUGGGAACAGACCUGUCUGUCUGCAGCCCCAGAGGGCAUGGGAACAGACCUGUCUGCCUGCAGCCCCAGAGGGCAUGGGAACAGACCUGUCUGUCUGCAGCCCCAGAGGGCAUGGGAACAGACCUGUCUGUCUGCAGCCCCAGAGGGCAUGGGAGUGCUCCUCACUCCACUAGAGGACACGGCCCAAUCACAAAUCAACCCCUAAAGAUCUACGCCCCAUGUAGACAUCUGACUGGAUUUGAUUUGUGUAAGCAAUAUGGUAAUAGCUCCAUCCACCUUGUCCUGUGA